rnacentral:rRNA from 1 species
GACAGAGGCCUCGAGCGUCAGGCGGAAUCACUGGGCUUAAAGCGUGUGUAGGCGGAUCGUUAGGUACCUUGUGAAAUCCCACGGCUCAACCGUGGAACGGCUGGGUAUACUGGCGGUCUUGGGCCAUUCAGGGGCGACUGGAACAAGCGGUGGAGCGGUGAAAUGCGUAGAUAUCGCUUGGAACGCCGAAGGUGAAAACAGGUCGCUGGGGAUGUGCCGACGCUGAGACACGAAAGCCAGGGGAGCAAACGGG